GAACUUUCCAUGAAAACAAUAGCCUGUGGUGAAACAGCUUGUCAUGGAUACUAAUGAAAAAUUGCCCGAGACAUCCUGAUGGGAUUCCUCCUGCAUUCAUUUUGCCCUUAAGGUCUGGGAAUUCAGUGAACACAAAAAGAUUUCAUUAUUGCUUCCCUGAUGUAACCAGGAGGGUUUAAAUGACCGAUGGGGGUGGAUACUGCUUUCUUUCUGACCUGGACGUUUCAAGACUCUAUACAAAAAGAAUAAAUCAAACAAAAACAAUGUAAUAGAAAUAAAGGAGGAAACCAUGGCUAAAACAGAAAAGUAUGCAUUCCAACAUCAAGAAUUAAUACUGUUGCUAUAAUUGAGCAUAAAACCUGCAUUAAAUUCCUGGCAGGCAAGAUAAAAAGUACAAAGAAGCAAGUUACAAAACUUUCAGAGAAGAGAAGGUCUUACUGUUUCCAAUUAACUAGAAGAAAUCUUUAAAGGAAGAAAUGAUCUUCAAAAUAAAAAUGAAAGCCUUAAGAAAGCAGUCAGCACUAAAAGCUUCCAAUGUACCAUCUGGAUGAAUAAUUCCGUCUGGAGAGGAAAAAGAAAGACUAUGCAAGCUAAUAUGAUGUGGAGGAGAAUUCUAGCUGAAUAACAGUACUAUUCACAGAGGAAUUUCUGACUCUCAAAAGGAGAAUCUCCUCUUCAUCCAUCCUCAGAAUCUAUAUAGAAAUGGACCUUUUGCCAGUUUCCAGUUUGGAAGAAAACAAAAUAACAAAAGACGAAAAAACAAAAAUAAAAUUGGCAUUUUUCUAUCAGGA